AACGAACGCUGGCGGCAUGCCUAACACAUGCAAGUCGAACGAGACCUUCGGGUCUAGUGGCGCACUGGUGCGUAACGCGUGGGAACCUGCCCUUAGGUUCGGAAUAACUCCCCGAAAGGGGUGCUAAUACCGGAUAAUGUCUUCGGACCAAAGAUUUAUCGCCUUUGGAUGGGCCCGCGUUGGAUUAGCUAGUUGGUAGGGUAAAAGCCUACCAAGGCGACGAUCCAUAGCUGGUCUGAGAGGAUGAUCAGCCACACUGGGACUGAGAAACGGCCCAGACUCCUACGGGAGGCAGCAGUGGGGAAUAUUGGACAACGGGCGAAAGCAUGAUCCAGCAAUGCCGCGUGAGUGAUGAAGGCCUUAGGGUUGUAAAGCUCUUUUACCCGGGAUGAUAAUGACAUUACCGAGAGAAUAAGCUCCGGCUAACUCCGUG
rnacentral:rRNA from 1 species